UUUAUUCAUAAUGCAGAUAUGAGAAUUCAUUAUCAGUAGCUGCUACUGAUAGACAGAGGGAUAUUAUGUUAAAUGUAUAUGUAAAUAUGAUAACAACCACAUGAUUAAUGCCUUAUGCCCUCUUUAAGCAGCAUAUAAACAAACGGACCGAUGUUUGGCAGCAACGUUUGAUUGAUACAACAGUUACAGAAUGACAUACCCCGCUAACUCAUACAGACUGAUUCCAGAACUCAGCAGGCUUGCGAUGCUUACACACUGGCAUCUUUGCUCGGACUGAAUCUAUUAAUGAGAAGUCAAUAUCUGCAACAGUAAUACCUGUUGACGAUCGAUCUGACAAGCGACCAACUAUUGUUCCCCAUGGAUCAAUUAUUAAAGUAUCUCCAUAACUUUCCCUUUUAUCAUUAUGCUUCCCUGCUUGAGCGGCAGCUAUGACAUAACACUGUGUUUCAAUUGCACGAGCACGAAGAAGAAUCUCCCAAUGUGCCUGACCAGUUACCGUUGUGAAAGCAGCAGGCACUAACAAAACCUGUGCAUCAUGAUUGAACCUCAGUUGUUGAUACAACUCAGGGAAUCUUAAAUCGUAACAAACGGUGACACCUAAACGACCGAAGGGGCUGUCCACCACAACAAUAUCCUUUCCAGCUUCAGUGAAACUGCUCUCUUUAUAAACUGCACCUCCAGGAACAUCCACGUCAAAUAGAUGCAUCUUACUGUAUGUGCUCCUAAUAUUUCCAUUAUCAUCAAUGAGAACAUGAGUGUUGCGCAAGUGUGCAUUGUCACUCCCUUUUUCUUGGAAUCCUCCUAGAGACAACCAAAUAUUUGAUUCCCUUGCAAGAGAGCAGUAGCCUUUCAU
rnacentral:misc_RNA from 1 species